rnacentral:rRNA from 1 species
AUUGAACGCUGGCGGCAGGCCUAACACAUGCAAGUCGAGCGGAGCGGCGGACGGGUGAGUAAUACCUAGGAAUCUGCCUGUUAGUGGUGGAUGACGUCCGGUAACGGACGCUAAUACCGCAUACUCUCAGAUUCGCCUAGGUCGGAUUAGCUAGUUGGUGUGGUAAUGGUAUACCAAGGCGACGAUCCGUAACUGGUCUGAGAGGAUGAGCAGUCACACUGGGACUGAGACACGGGCCAGACGCCUACGGGAGGCAGCAGUGGGGAAUAUUGGACAAGGGGCGAAAGCCUGAUCCAGCCAUGCCGCGUGUGUGAAGAAGGUCUUCGGAUUGUAAAGCACUUUAAGUUGGGAGGCGUUACCAACAGAAUAAGCACCGGCUAACUCUGUGCCAGCAGCCGCGGUAAUUC